GACGAACGCUGGCGGCGUGCUUAACACAUGCAAGUCGAGCGGAGCGGCGAACGGGUGAGUAACGCGUGAGUAACUGCCCCCCUCUCUGGGAUAACAGUUGGAAACGGCUGCUAAUACCGGAUAGUGGGGGAUGACUCGCGUCCUAUCAGCUUGUUGGUGGGGUAGUGGCCUACCAAGGCGACGGCGGGCAGACGGCCUGAGAGGGCGACCGGCCACAUUGGGCUGAGAUACCGGCCAAACUGCUACUGGAGGCAGCAGUGGGGAAUUGUGCACAAUGGGGGAAACCAGGAUGCAGCAACGCCGGGUGGGGAAUGACGGUCUUCGGGUAGUAAACCGCUUUCAGCCAUGACGCGGUAGUGGCAGAAGAAGCACCGGCUAACUACGUGCCAGCAGCCGCGGUAAUAC
rnacentral:rRNA from 1 species